CAGAAGAAGAGCAGCAGAGACUGGAUGAUGGCUCGCACAGCAGACAAACCAAGAAGGAUAUGCCAUCGCUCAUGAUUGCCCAGGAUAAAGUUGAGGCCAACAAUCUGAAAAGGCAGGGAGGAAGCAUGGCAACUGCACAACACUUUAGGUUCUGUAUGACAGUCUCUCCUCCAGCCCUGCAGCUCGGCCUGUGAAGAUGAUUAAUGGAGAAAGUACAGCCAGGAUCACAGUCAGGUAGCACAUUUCAUAUCUUAAAGCGAUCAGCACAAAUGCAGUGAUGCCUGUUCAAGCAGACUUCCAAGGACAGCACACACUAUCGACACAAAGAGCUCUUCCACAUUUCCAGAAUACAGUGACAAGAACUGGUACAUAUAAUAAUAAAGAACCCCCCUCCCUUUUAUUUAACUUCAUGGAAUGGGAGGUCAGACUUCAGGCACUUCUUUGUCUGGCAGUGGACAAAACCAAAAGGGCUCCGACCUGAAUUUCACAUCUCUGUCUAAUCUACCGCACAAGAGGGACCAGAGACACCAAUGACCAAUGAGUCACAAGAGCAGACAGAAAACUGUUAGUAGGUCUUGACAACCAGGAAUGAAGAUGCUUUUUAAAAAUAUGUACUUGAUGCCAAGUAUGUAAGAAAUGGUAUCUUAGAAAGCAAUGCCAUUGUAUUAGAAAAAUGGAGUCCCUGUCCAGGUGACCUUGUGGGAUUUCAUCUGGACCUUGAUCUAUACUGUUGAAAUAGCUGUAGGUCUUCUUGAAGCAUCAUUUAAGUCUUCAAGAAAAAUAGUAAAAAUAGUGUCAUCUAUAUAACCAGAGCCAUUGAUUCUGUGUGGAACUUAGUGCAAGCUGUUUGCAUUCAUACUCUGUGCAGUGGCAAUGGCCGGGGUGUAACUGGCCUGGGGAGAACGCUCACCAUUCGAAUGGAGAUCUUAGAGGUCUUCUGUUUCUGCAGUAUGGAUGCAGGAAUCCACACUAUUUUCCCCCUCACUGGCACCCCAGAAUGAUGGUCACCUGUCAGAACCUGAACCAAGACUAUGGUUUGGGCAGGCUCCAUGGAUUUUACAGUAUGAUUAUCAAUUUAGAGCAGUAAGUACUGAAAAGAUCUCGUGAAACUUACUUUGGGGCAAGGGCUCAGUUUCACUUUGUAGAACAACAAAAAUAAAAUGAGCCAAUUCCAUAAACAAAAUCCCCUCUGGGAAGAACUAAAACUAAACACUGAAACUAAUUAGUUUCAAAAUUAAAGAAAUUUUUACUAGGGUGCUAUUAAGAUGGAUGAAAAGCACAACCCUCCUCCCACCAUAAAAAAAAAAAAAGGAAGGAA